GAGUUUGAUCAUGGCUCAGAUUGAACGCUGGCGGCAUGCCUUACACAUGCAAGUCGAACGGCAGCACGGGAGCUUGCUCCUGGUGGCGAGUGGCGAACGGGUGAGUAAUGCAUCGGAACGUAUCCUGGAGUGGGGGAUAACGUAGCGAAAGUUACGCUAAUACCGCAUAUUCUGUGAGCAGGAAAGCGGGGGGCCUUCGGGCCUCGCGCUCUUGGAGCGGCCGAUGUCGGAUUAGCUAGUUGGUGAGGUAAAGGCUCACCAAGGCGACGAUCCGUAGCAGGUCUGAGAGGAUGAUCUGCCACACUGGAACUGAGACACGGUCCAGACUCCUACGGGAGGCAGCAGUGGGGAAUUUUGGACAAUGGGGGCAACCCUGAUCCAGCCAUGCCGCGUGAGUGAAGAAGGCCUCGGUUGUAAG
rnacentral:rRNA from 1 species